rnacentral:rRNA from 1 species
AGUGGCGGACGGGUGAGUAAUGCAUAGGAAUCUGCCCAGUAGUGGGGGACAACUCGGGGAAACUCGAGCUAAUACCGCAUAUUUCCUACGGGAGAAAGACUUCGGUCGCUAUUGGAUGAGCCUAUGUCAGAUUAGCUUGUUGGUAGGGUAAUGGCCUACCAAGGCUACGAUCUGUAGCUGGUCUGAGAGGAUGAUCAGCCACACUGGGACUGAGACACGGCCCAGACUCCUACGGGAGGCAGCAGUGGGGAAUAUUGGACAAUGGGCGAAAGCCUGAUCCAGCAAUGCAGCGUGUGUGAAGAAGGCCCUUGGGUUGUAAAGCUCUUUCGUCGGGGAAGAAAAUGACUGUACCCGAAUAAGAAGGUCCGGCUAACUUCGUGCCAGCAGCCGCGGUAAUACGAAGGGACCUAGCGUAGUUCGGAAUUACUGGGCUUAAAGAGUUCGUAGGUGGUUGAAAAAGUUAGUGGUGAAAUCCCAGAGCUUAACUCUGGAACUGCCAUUAAAACUUUUCAGCUAGAGUAUGAUAGAGGAAAGCAGAAUUUCUAGUGUAGAGGUGAAAUUCGUAGAUAUUAGAAAGAAUACCAAUUGCGAAGGCAGCUUUCUGGAUCAUUACUGACACUGAGGAACGAAAGCAUGGGUAGCGAAGAGGAUUAGAUACCCUCGUAGUCCAUGCCGUAAACGAUGUGUGUUAGACGUUGGAAAUUUAUUUUCAGUGUCGCAGCGAAAGCGAUAAACACACCGCCUGGGGAGUACGACCGCAAGGUUAAAACUCAAAUGAAUUGACGGGGACCCGCACAAGUAGUGGAGCAUGUGGUUUAAUUCGAAGAUACGCGCAGAACCUUACCAACACUUGACAUGUUCGUCGCGACUCUAAGAGAUUAGAGUUUUCGGUUCGGCCGGACGAAACACAGGUGCUGCAUGGCUGUCGUCAGCUCGUGUCGUGAGAUGUUGGGUUAAGUCCCGCAACGAGCGCAACCCUCACUUUUAGUUGCCAUCAUUAAGUUGGGCACUCUGAAAGAACUGCCAGUGAUAAGCUGGAGGAAGGUGGGGAUGACGUCAAGUCCUCAUGGCCCUUACGUGUUGGGCUACACACGUGCUACAAUGGUAUCUACAACAGGAAGCAAGACUGCGAGGUCAAGCAAAUCCUUAAAAGAUACCUCAGUUCGGAUUGCACUCUGCAACUCGAGUGCAUGAAGCUGGAAUUACUAGUAAUCGUGGAUCAGCGUGCCACGGUGAAUGCGUUCCCGGGUCUUGUACACACCGCCCGUCACACCAUGGGAGUUGGUUCUACCUUAAGGCAAGGUUUCAAACCCUUGACCACGGUAUAGUCAGCGACUGGGGUGAAGUCAUAACAAGGUAGCCGUA